GCGCUAUCUCUUCUACCCUCGUGCGUUUUGUAUCUUCUGUCUUACUCAUAAACGAAAACGGAUUUUAUACGCUAUGUAAUAUAAACGUAACAUAACUGU